rnacentral:rRNA from 1 species
GCUUACGGCCACACCGCCUGGUUCACGCCCGAUCUCGCUUUGAUCUCGGAAGCUAAGAUAGGGUUGGCCUGGUUAGUACUUGGAUGGGAGACCGCCUGGGAAUACCAGGUGCUGUAAGAU